CACCAACUUGACUUAGCAUAAUUCUUUGAGAAAACGAUUACGGCAACUUGAGACUCUUCUAUCGCUUGCACGAGUUCUUCUGAGAUGGAAUCGCCAUCCUCUAGUCUUUCAUCGUCUAGAAAGGUGGCUAUUCCCCUAUUUUUCAAACCUUUGUUCAAGUGACUUGUAAAGUUAUUCCGGGUAUCAUCUCCUCUGAAACUUAGAAAGACAUUGUACUUCCAUCGAGGACAGUACUGUGAAUUACUCGCAGAAGAAGAAGAUGAUGCCAUAGAUUCAAUUAAUUGUUUGAAAAGAAAAACUAAAGUGUAUGGAUCGGAUGAGAUCAAUUGAUGAACAAAUUAGUUAUAUAGAGGAAAGAAGAAAUAAACAUUCCAGUCAACUAAUA